rnacentral:rRNA from 1 species
UACGUAGGGGGCGAGCGUUGCCCGGAAUUAUUGGGCGUAAAGGGCGCGCAGGCGGCCUGAUUAGUCGUGGGUGAAAUCGUUCGGCUUAACCGAGCGGGGUCCUGCGAAACGGUCGGGCUGGAGCAAGGCAGGGGGUCGUGGAAUUCCCGGUGUAGUGGUGGAAUGCGUAGAGAUCGGGAGGAACACCAGUGGCGAAGGCGGCGACCUGGGCCUGUGCUGACGCUGAGGCGCGAAAGCGUGGGGAGCGAUCCGG